rnacentral:rRNA from 1 species
CCUACGGGCCGCAGCAGUGGGGAAUAUUGGACAAUGGGGGCAACCCUGAUCCAGCCAUGCCGCGUGUGUGAAGAAGGCCCUCGGGUUGUAAAGCACUUUCAGUGAGGAAGAACGCCUGGUGGUUAAUACCCAUCAGGAAAGACAUCACUCACAGAAGAAGCACCGGCUAACUCCGUGCCAGCAGCCGCGGUAAUACGGAGGGUGCGAGCGUUAAUCGGAAUUACUGGGUGUAAAGCGCGCGUAGGUGGCUUGAUAAGCCGGUUGUGAAAGCCCCGGGCUCAACCUGGGAACGGCAUCCGGAACUGUCAAGCUAGAGUGCAGGAGAGGAAGGUAGAAUUCCCGGUGUAGCGGUGAAAUGCGUAGAGAUCGGGAGGAAUACCAGUGGCGAAGGCGGCCUUCUGGACUGACACUGACACUGAGGUGCGAAAGCGUGGGUAGCAAACAGGAUUAGAUACCCUAGUAGUC